rnacentral:rRNA from 1 species
CCUAGGGAGGCAGCAGUGGGGAAUCUUAGACAAUGGGGGCAACCCUGAUCUAGCAUGCCGCGUGAGUGAUGAAGGCCUUAGGGUCGUAAAGCUCUUUCGCCUGUGAUGAUAAUGACAGUAGCAGGUAAAGAAACCCCGGCUAACUCCGUGCCAGCAGCCGCGGUAAUA